rnacentral:rRNA from 1 species
AUGUCUGUUAUGAAAUUCCCUAAGUGGGCCAUUGAUGCCAUUACCUCACAGAUGUCUCACUUCUUUUGGGUCAAUGUGGGUGACAAUCAUAAAUACCAUCUGUCUAGUUGGGGGUCGAUUGCUCAGAAAAAAGAAUUUGGGGGUCUAGGGGUUCCUAACCUUAGAGAAUACAAUAUGGCCCUCCUUGCCUCGUGGGGAAGGAGAUUCUAUGAUGGGAGGGAUAGUAACCGGAAGAAAGUCAUUAACUUCAAAUAUGCUACUGACAAACCCAAUUUCUAUUGGGGAAAACCUGGAUUAGGCUCUCCCUUUUGGAAAAGCCUAACCUAG